GACCUGGUGGUGUAAUGGUAACACACUUGCUUAAGUUAAUCUAUCCGUGGUAGUGUAUACAAGAGAUCCCUGUUCAACUCGGGGCUGGGUCA